rnacentral:rRNA from 1 species
UACGUAGGUGCGAGCGUUAAUCGGAAUUACUGGGCGUAAAGCGUGCGCAGGCGGUCUGUUAAGACCGAUGUGAAAUCCCCGGGCUUAACCUGGGAACUGCAUUGGUGACUGGCAGGCUUUGAGUGUGGCAGAGGGAGGUAGAAUUCCACGUGUAGCAGUGAAAUGCGUAGAGAUGUGGAGGAAUACCGAUGGCGAAGGCAGCCUCCUGGGCCAACACUGACGCUCAUGCACGAAAGCGUGGGGAGCAAACAGG